AGAGUUUGAUCCUGGCUCAGGAUGAACGCUAGCGGCGUGCCUAACACAUGCAAGUCGAACGUGAAGGGAUACUUGUAUUCCUGAAAGUGGCGGACGGGUGAGUAAGACGUAGGUGACCUGCCUUGAAGUGGGGGAUAACCAUUGGAAACGAUGGCUAAUACCGCAUAAGCUGGUGAUGAUGGGAAUCGUUAUCAGGAAAGCUUUUAGUGCUUUUGAGAGGGGCCUACGGCCGAUUAGCUAGUUGGUGAGGUAAAGGCUCACCAAGGCGAUGAUCGGUAGCUGGUCUGAGAGGACGAUCAGCCACACGGGAACUGAGACACGGUCCCGACUCCUACGGGGGGCAGCAGUGAGGAAUAUUCGGCAAUGGGGGCAACCCUGACCGAGCAACGCCGCGUGGAGGAUGACGGUUUUCGGAGUUGUAAACUCCUUUUCUCAGGGAAGAGCGAGGACGGUACCUGAGGAAUAAGUCACGGCUAACUACGUGCCAGCAGCCGCGGUAAUACGUAGGUGGC
rnacentral:rRNA from 1 species